CGUAUGCAAUCUACCUUUUACAGAGGGAUAGCCCAGAGAAAUUUGGAUUAAUACCUCAUAGUAUUAUUGAAUGGCAUCAUUUAAUAAUUAAAGUCACAACGGUAAAAGAUGAGCAUGCGUCCCAUUAGCUAGUUGGUAAGGUAACGGCUUACCAAGGCAACGAUGGGUAGGGGUCCUGAGAGGGAGAUCCCCCACACUGGUACUGAGACACGGACCAGACUCCUACGGGAGGCAGCAGUGAGGAAUAUUGGUCAAUGGGCGCAAGCCUGAACCAGCCAUGCCGCGUGCAGGAUGACGGUCCUAUGGAUUGUAAACUGCUUUUGUACAGGAAGAAACAGUUCUACGUGUAGAACCUUGACGGUACUGUAAGAAUAAGGAUCGGCUAACUCCGUGCCAGCAGCCGCGGUAAUACGGAGGAUCCAAGCGUUAUCCGGAAUCAUUGGGUUUAAAGGGUCCGUAGGCGGUUUUGUAAGUCAGUGGUGAAAGCCCAUCGCUCAACGGUGGAACGGCCAUUGAUACUGCAAGACUUGAAUUAUUAGGAAGCAACUAGAAUAUGUAGUGUAGCGGUGAAAUGCUUAGAGAUUACAUGGAAUACCAAUUGCGAAGGCAGGUUGCUACUAAUGGAUUGACGCUGAUGGACGAAAGCGUGGGGAGCGAACAGGAUUAGAUACC
rnacentral:rRNA from 1 species